rnacentral:rRNA from 1 species
AGUCGAACGAGAAAGUUUCCUUCGGGAAGCGAGUAAAGUGGCGGACGGGUGAGUAACACGUAGGUUACCUGCCCUCGAGUGGGGAAUAACUCCGGGAAACUGGAGCUAAUACCGCAUACGACCCUUCGGGGUGAAAGGCUUCGGUCGCUCGGGGAUGGGCCUGCGGUCGAUUAGCUAGUUGGUAGGGUAAAGGCCUACCAAGGCAUCGAUCGAUAGCCGGCCUGAGAGGGCACACGGCCACACUGGCACUGAGACACGGGCCAGACUCCUACGGGAGGCAGCAGUGGGGAAUCUUGGACAAUGGGGGAAACCCUGAUCCAGCGACGCCGCGUGAUCGAUGAAGGCCUUCGGGUCGUAAAGAUCUUUCGACGGGGACAAUAAUGAUGGUACCCGUAUAAGAAGGAGCGGCUAACUACGUGCCAGCAGCCGCGGUAAUACGUAGGCUCCAAGCGUUGUUCGGAAAUUACUGGGCGUAAAGCGAGUGUAGGCGGUCCGUCAAGUUGGUUGUGAAAUCUCCCGGCUCAACUGGGAGGCUGCAAUCAAACUUGACGGACUAGAGUCGUGGAAAAGAAAGUGGAAUUCCUGGUGUACCGGUGAAAUGC